rnacentral:rRNA from 1 species
UACGGGGGGAGCAAGCGUUGUUCGGAUUUACUGGGCGUAAAGGGCGCGUAGGCGGCGCAACAAGUCACUUGUGAAAUCCCUGGGCUCAACCCAGGAACUGCGUCCGAUACUGGCAGGCUUGAAUCCGGGAGAGGGAUGCGGAAUUCCAGGUGUAGCGGUGAAAUGCGUAGAUAUCUGGAGGAACACCGGUGGCGAAGGCGGCAUCCUGGACCGGCAUUGACGCUGAGGCGCGAAAGCCAGGGGAGCAAACGGG